rnacentral:rRNA from 1 species
GACGAACGCUGGCGGCGUGCUUAACACAUGCAAGUCGAACGGAAAGGCCCUGCUUUUGUGGGGUGCUCGAGUGGCGAACGGGUGAGUAACACGUGAGUAACCUGCCCUUGACUUUGUGAUAACUUCAGGAAACUGGGGCUAAUACCGGAUAGGAGCUCCUGCUGCAUGGUGGUGGUUGGAUAGUUUCGGCGGUUGGGGAUGGACUCGCGGCUUAUCAGCUUGUUGUUGGGGUAGUGGCUUACCAAGGCUUUGACGGGUAGCCGGCGUCAGAUGGUGACCGGCCACAUUGGGACUGAGAUACGGCCCAGACUCAGACGCGAGGCAGCAGUGGGGAAUAUUGCACAAUGGCAGGAAGCCUAAUGCAGCAACGCCGAGUGCGGGAUAACUGCAUUCGGGUUGUAUACCGAUUUCGUCUGUGACGAAGAGAGAGUGACGGUAAUGUGUAAAGAAGCACCGGCUAACUACGUG